AUGGAAACUCCACUGAGCACUCUGCUGCUGCUCCUCUGUGUGCAGCUGACCUGGUCAAAUGGACAACUGCCAGUGGAACAGAAUGCUCCUUCCCUGAAAGUCAAGGAAGGUGACAGCGUCACACUGAACUGCAGUUACAGAGACAGCCCUUCAGAUUUCUUCAGUGGUUCAGGCAGGAUCCUGAGGAAGGCCUCAUUUCCCUGAUACAAAUGCUAUCAACUGUGAGAGAGAAGAUCAGUGGAAGAUUCACAGCCAGGCUUAAAAAAGGAGACCAGCACAUUUCCCUGCACAUACAGGAUUCCCAGCUCCAUGACUCAACCACAUUCUUCUGCGCAGCAAGCA
rnacentral:lncRNA from 1 species